rnacentral:tRNA from 1 species
AAGAAUGAAGCAAAAUUUGCAAUCAGUUUCGGCCUGACCUUAGGAUCUCCCAUUCUUA